UACCUGCAGCUCGAGUGGUAACCGCUAUUAUUGGGCCUAAAGCGUCCGUAGCCGGUUUGGUAAAUAUCUGGGUAAAUCGUGAGGCUUAACUUCACGAAUUUCGGAUAGACUGCCAGACUUGGGAUCGGGGGAGGUCAGAGGUACUCCAGGGGUAGCGGUGAAAUGUUGUAAUCCUUGGAGGACCACCGGUAGCGAAGGCGUCUGACUAGAACGAGUCCGACGGUGAGGGACGAAGCCCUGGGGCGCAAACCGGAUUAGAUACCCGGGUAGUCCAGGGUGUAAACGAUGUGGGCUUUGUAUUGGAGGUCCCACGUGGGCGUCCAGUGCAGAAGAGAAGUUGUUAAGCCCACCGCCUGGGAAGUACGGUCGCAAGGCUGAAACUUAAAGGAAUUGGCGGGGGAGCACAGCAACGGGGGGAGCGCGCGGUUU
rnacentral:rRNA from 1 species